GACGAACGCUGGCGGCGUGCUUAACACAUGCAAGUCGAACGGAAAGGCCCUGCUUUUGUGGGGUUCUCGAGUGGCGAACGGGUGAGUAACACGUGAGUAACCUGCCCUUGACUUUGGGAUAACUUCAGGAAACUGGGGCUAAUACCGGAUAGGAGCUCCUGCUGCAUGGUGGGGGUUGGAAAGUUUCGGCGGUUGGGGAUGGACUCGCGGCUUAUCAGCUUGUUGGUGGGGUAGUGGCUUACCAAGGCUUUGAAGGGUAGCCGGCCUGAGAGGGUGACCGGCCACAUGGGGACUGAGAUACGGCGCAGACUGCUACGGGAGGCAGCAGUGGGGAAUAUUGCACAAUGGGCGGAAGCCUGAUGCAGCAACGCCGCGUGCGGGAUGACGGCCUUCGGGUGGUAAACCGCUUUAGCCUGUGACGAAGCGUGAGUGACGGUAAUGGGUAAAGAAGCACCGGCUAACUACGUG
rnacentral:rRNA from 1 species